rnacentral:rRNA from 1 species
UUAUAAACUAUAUUAUUAAUAUUCAUUAUUAUAAAAUUAUUUUAAAUAUUUGAUCCUUUCGUACUAAAAUAUUUUUUUUUAUUAAAGAUAGAAACCAACCUGGCUUACACCGGUUUGAACUCAGAUCAUGUAAGAUUUUAAUGAUCGAACAGAUCAAAAUUUUAAACUUUUGCAUUUAAAUUUUAUCUUAAUCCAACAUCGAGGUCGCAAACUUUUUUUUUUAUACGUACUAAAAAAAAAUAUUACGCUGUUAUCCCUAAGGUAAUUUUUUCUUUUAAUCAUUAUUAAUGGAUCAAUUAACCACUUAUUUAUGUUUAAUUUUAAAAAAAGUUUAUUAAAUUUUUCUAUCACCCCAACACAAUAUUUUAUUUAAUUAAUAUAUUUAAUUAUAUAUUUAAUAUUAAUUAAAUAAAAUAUAAAACUCUAUAGGGUCUUCUCGUCUUUUAAUUUUAUUUUAGCUUUUUAACUAAAAAAUUAAUUUCUAAUCAUAAAUUAGAGACAGUUUAUAUUUCAUCAAAUCUUUCAUACAAGUCUUCAAUUAAAAGACUAAUGAUUAUGCUACCUUUGUACAGUCAAUAUACUGCAGCCCUUUAAUAUAAUAUCAGUGGGCAGAUUAGACUUUAAAUUAUUAUCAAAAAGACAUGUUUUUGAUAAACAAGUGAAUAUAAAUUUUUGCCGAAUUCCUUUAACUUAAUUAUUUAUAAUUUUUUUUUUAAUUUAUUAUAUUAUACUAAUUUUAUCAUUAUUUCUAAUUUUAUUAAAUUAUAAAUUAUUUUUUCAUAAAAAUUUAAAUUUUUUUAUUUUAAAUUUUAUUUUUAAUAAAAUUUUUUAUAAUAAACUAUAAUUUUUAAACAAUAUAAAUUUUAAAAAUUUUAAUUUUAAUUAUUUUUAAUUAUAAAUUUUUAAUUUAAAGCUUAUCCCCUAAAAUAUUAAAAUUUAAAUUUUUAUAAUUAAUUAAAUAAUUAUAAAAUUAUUUAAAUUUAAAAUUAAAUUUUUUUCUGAAAAAACUAGAUAUAUUUAAAAACGAUUAACAUUUCAUUUCUAAUUAAUUAUUUAAAAUAAUUAUACAACAUUAACUUUUUUAAUUAAUUAACUCUUUUAAAUUCGAGAUUUAUUUAAAUAAAUUAUUAUUAUUUAAUAAACUCUGAUACACAAGAUACAAUAAUUUAAAUUUACUUUUUCAUUAAUUAUAUUUCAUUUAUUUAUAAAUUCCUUUACAGUAAUAUUUAACUAUAAAACUUUUAAUUUUUUCUAUUAAAAAUACUCAAACCCCCAUUUUUCUUUUUAAUAUUAAAAUUUCUUUUAUUAAAUUUAAAUUAUUAAUUUUCCC